rnacentral:rRNA from 1 species
AUUGAACGCUGGCGGAAUGCUUUACACAUGCAAGUCGAACGGUAGAGGGGGCAACCCCUCGAGAGUGGCGAACGGGUGAGUAAUAUAUCGGAACGUGCCCAGUCGUGGGGGAUAACGUAGCGAAAGUUACGCUAAUACCGCAUACGAUCUACGGAUGAAAGCGGGGGAUCGCAAGACCUCCCGCGAUUGGAGCGGCCGAUAGCAGAUUAGGUAGUUGGUGGGGUAAAGGCUCACCAAGCCAACGAUCUGUAGCUGGUCUGAGAGGACGACCAGCCACACUGGAACUGAGACACGGUCCAGACUCCUACGGGAGGCAGCAGUGGGGAAUUCUGGACAAUGGACGCAAGUCUGAUCCAGCCAUUCCGCGUGCAGGAUGAAGGCCCUCGGGUUGUAAACUGCUUUUGUACGGAACGAAAAGGUUUCCAUUAAUACUGGGAGCUCAUGACGGUACCGUAAGAAUAAGCACCGGCUAACUACGUGCCAGCAGCCGCCGUAA